rnacentral:rRNA from 1 species
UUUUACAUAAGAGGUCCCGCCUGCCCGGUGACUCUGGGUUAAACGGCCGCGGUAUUUUAACCGUGCGAAGGUAGCGCAAUCACUUGUCCUUUAAAUGAAGACCUGUAUGAAUGGCUAGACGAGGGCUUGACUGUCUCCUCUCCCCAGUCAGUGAAAUUGAUCUCCCCGUGCAGAAGCGGGGAUUGUAGCAUAAGACGAGAAGACCCUAUGGAGCUUUAGACACCAGACAACCCACGUCAAACACCCUUGGUCUGCCAGAAGAGAACAUUGUGGCCCUUGUCUCACCUGUCUUCGGUUGGGGCGACCGCGGAGGACAAAAAGCCUCCAUGUGGACUAAAGUAACUAUCCUUCACAGCUCAGAGCCGCGGCUCUACGCAACAGAAAUUCUGACCAAAAAUGAUCCGGCGCAUGCCGAUUAACGGAACAAGUUACCCUAGGGAUAACAGCGCAAUCCUCUCCCAGAGUCCCUAUCGACGAGAGGGUUUACGACCUCGAUGUUGGAUCAGGACAUCCUAUUGGUGCAGCCGCUAAUAAGGGUUCGUUUGUUCAACGAUUAAAGUCCU